UACGGGGGGGGCAAGCGUUGUUCGGAAUUACUGGGCGUAAAGGGCGCGUAGGCGGCCAUCUAAGUCAGACGUGAAAUCCCCCGGCUUAACCUGGGAACUGCGUCUGAUACUGGACGGCUUGAGUUUGGGAGAGGGAUGCAGAAUUCCAGGUGUAGCGGUGAAAUGCGUAGAUAUCUGGAGGAAUACCGGUGGCGAAGGCGGCAUCCUGGACCAACACUGACGCUGAUGCGCGAAAGCUAGGGGAGCAAACGGG
rnacentral:rRNA from 1 species